rnacentral:rRNA from 1 species
UACGUAGGGGGCUAGCGUUGUCCGGAAUCAUUGGGCGUAAAGCGCGUGUAGGCGGUCCGGUAAGUCCGCUGUGAAAGUCGAGGGCUCAACCCUCGAAUGCCGGUGGAUACUGUCGGGCUUGAGUACGGGAGAGGCGAGUGGAAUUCCUGGUGUAGCGGUGAAAUGCGCAGAUAUCAGGAGGAAUACCGAUGGCGAAGGCAGGUCUCUGGGCUGACACUGACGCUCAUGCACGAAAGCGUGGGGAGCAAACAGG